UAAAAAUCGACACAUAGUAGAAACAAUGUACAACAUUAUUUCCUAGUGAAGAAGCUUUGAUCAUUCAUCUUUAAUUUUGUAAUUGGAUAAUGGAAUAGACGACACUCAUUCAUCAAGAGCACACAUCACAGAAAGAAAGAAAAUAUUAAUGAGUGUCAUGCAAUGCAUGCAGGUAGAUUUAAAAGUCAACCGAAUCUCGACUUAAUUGUUCCACCGUGCUUGUUUUCUGAAAUAGAAUUCACUGUUGCAUCUCAUGCCUAAGUCUCGGUUGAUGCCAAAAAUACUUGUCACAUGGCUCUCAACAUAAUGCCCUGAACAAUGGAGCAAUACUACCAAGGCAUAACGAAUGCUCCAGAACUUCAUUGUGUAGCAGCAGAGCAAACAUAUAAUCUACAUCAAACAUAAAGAGUAGAGGUCAGAGUAUGUUAAGUUCUUAUUAUAAAAUAAACCUGUUUAAAUCCUCAUAAUGAAACUACAUGAGUAAAAGCUUGAGAAAAAAAGUGAUCACUUGUUGGAAAUUAAAUAUCGAGCCAAACAAAGCUAGUACAACUAAAACGACACAUUGGGAAGAGGAAUAAAAGUAAGAUGGGUCACUACGGUAAUGUUAGUUAUUAGUUCUACUUUUCACUGACUUUAUCAUAUAAAAGGAAAGGAACACACACAGAUUGCAUCUACAAUAUUAUCUAACUUGAGAAAUAUAAACUCUUAAUGCCGCCUCUUUGGUAAGGAAUAGGAGGGAUUCUAUUCAGAUAUUAGUUGAAAAAUCGAAAGAAUAUGCCAAGAAAAAUAGACAGCAUGAUUCAACUAACAAUUUCUUCUAUUUCGUUUCUUGGACCUUUUUUCAUAAAUGGAUUAUUUUUGGAUGAGAAUGGAGAGCAAUGUGUCUCUUGAUCUUCAUCACCACAUUCGGCUAAUGCCUGAAAGAUGAGCCAAUUAAGAACACAACAAACACUUUAUUUUCUCCCAAAGUGUUUUUGCUAAAUCAUGACAUCAUUAAUUAUAUCCGGGGAAAACUGUAAAAGUAAUUGAGAGGGAAUAAUAAUAUGUUAAUGCGAACUGGAAGGUUGCAAUUUGCAAGAAGGAAUGCCACACCUCCGGCUGCAGCAUAAAGAAUGAGGAUUGUAAGCAAGAUAUAAAAAUAUAAUAUGAGAUAAAUAGGUACAGCACAAACUGAGUCUUGACGAUAUCCAUUGACUUGUUAACGAUGGUGACCGCGCACUCGCUAGAACCUAUUAAUCCGUGAACAGUAGCAAAAAUCAUGAUGUCCCACCAAGAACGAAAUCAAUCAAUCCUGAUGCAUAAGAAGCAAACAAACCAGGCAAGCAAGAAACUUCCCGUGCAUACUAUAGCUAAGAAUUAUCAGGUCAAAGCAAAUUGCCAAGGAAAAUAACUUACCAGCCAUGUGAUAUGUCAUCUUGUAUCCGAUGUCACUUGACAUGGAAGAGAGGCC
rnacentral:lncRNA from 1 species